GUCAGGAUGGUGUUGUGGUUUGAACAUUGGACUACAACUCUGGAGACCAGGGUUUGAUUCCCCGCUUGGCCA